rnacentral:rRNA from 1 species
UACGUAGGGUGCAAGCGUUAUCCGGAUUCACUGGGUUUAAAGGGUGCGUAGGCGGGCAGGUAAGUCAGUGGUGAAAUCUUCGAGCUUAACUCGGAAACUGCCGUUGAUACUAUCUGUCUUGAAUACCGUGGAGAUGAGCGGAAUAUGUCAUGUAGCGGUGAAAUGCUUAGAUAUGACAUAGAACACCAAUGGCGAAGGCAGCUCGUUACACGAAUAUUGACGCUGAGGCACGAAAGCGUGGGGAUCAAACAGG